rnacentral:rRNA from 1 species
UGGCGGACGGGUGAGUAACGCGUGGGGAACCUGCCUUGCACCGGGGGAUAACACUUAGAAAUAGGUGCUAAUACCGCAUAAGCGCACAGAGCCGCAUGGCUCGGUGUGAAAAACUCCGGUGGUGCAAGAUGGACCCGCGUCUGAUUAGCUGGUUGGCGGGGUAACGGCCCACCAAGGCGACGAUCAGUAGCCGGCCUGAGAGGGCGAACGGCCACAUUGGGACUGAGACACGGCCCAAACUCCUACGGAAGGCAGCAG